GACGAACGCUGGCGGCGUGCCUAAUACAUGCAAGUUGAGCGAUGAAGAUUGGUGCUUGCACCAAUUUGAAGAGCAGCGAACGGGUGAGUAACGCGUGGGGAAUCUGCCUUUGAGCGGGGGACAACAUUUGGAAACGAAUGCUAAUACCGCAUAACAACUUUAAACAUAAGUUUUAAGUUUGAAAGAUGCAAUUGCAUCACUCAAAGAUGAUCCCGCGUUGUAUUAGCUAGUUGGUGAGGUAAAGGCUCACCAAGGCGAUGAUACAUAGCCGACCUGAGAGGGUGAUCGGCCACAUUGGGACUGAGACACGGCCCAAACUCCUACGGGAGGCAGCAGUAGGGAAUCUUCGGCAAUGGACGAAAGUCUGACCGAGCAACGCCGCGUGAGUGAAGAAGGGUUUCGGAUCGUAAAACUCGGUUGGUAGAGAAGAACGUUGGUGAGAGUGGAAAGCUCAUCAAGUGACGGUAACUACCCAGAAAGGGACGGCUAACUACGUG
rnacentral:rRNA from 1 species